UCUUUAGUAAAUUGGUUGCAAAUCAACCUGAUGAGACUGUUGACUGAUACUUUUAUGAUUAUAUAUGAUGUAAGUGAAGUUUAAUCUAUUGUAUAUAAUGCCUUGUCAUGUCAGAAGCCACUAGAUUUUAAUUGUUAUUAAGCGUCAUAAAUCAAAUUUUUAAUUUUGAUUCUA